GGAAGAGGAGCAGAUCACAGCUCUCCGAUUGCCUUCCAGCCUGAGGUUCUACCACCUGUCAGCUCCCCGGGGGACUUUGGAGAGCCCUCCUGGCGUCAUGCAUGGGCAGGGACCCAGAUGAAGCUGUACCCUCAUCUAUGAUCAUAAGUGGCCCAUCUAUAAUAGGGUUUCUUGCCCUUGGAACAACUGACAUUUUGGUCAGGCCCAAGCUCAGAGGGCUGCAGGCAAUGAGGCAAUCAAUACAAGAGGAAAGCCAGAAAAGGCUGCUCAGCCCAAGAGGAAGCAGAAGGUGGAGAAGAGAAGCAAGGGUUGCUUUAUAAUAAGCAGAGCGGCAGCCUCACCUCGUUAUGUGUUGCUGUUAUUCUCAGUCUGAGCUGAAUGUGGAAUACAAGCUUUCUGUGCCUGAAACCCCUCAUUUCUCAAAAUGUACUUGUUCCUCUCUCGGUUGAACAUGAUUUAAGAUGACAGCUUAAGCUAAUUGUGCUUAUAGGCUGUCUUCUCAACGGUAAGAGUUUUUGCCUAAGGGUUAGAGGGUCUUUGGCUAUGGUAUAAAUACUUCUUUUAGAACUUGUUUAGAUAAAGAUUGAUUAAUUUGGGGAGGUGGGAAAGGCAUUUUUCAGAAGACAUUUUGGAACAUCUACAAUGUUAUUACAAUUAGUACGAC